GAGGUCCUCCAUUUUCUUUGUUAAUGGUUUCAUCUUCUCCCUCGUGUACAUGGUGGAUUUCCACUUUAUAUCGGUAAGCAUCACCCCACCCCCACCCCCCACCAUUCAUUUCCUAUCAAUUUGUUUUUCAUUUGAGUGUUACUAGUUUGUCUUUUCCAAAUUUCAAUCUAUUUCAGCUCAUUUCAAGACUCGUGGAUCUCUAUUUUCUACCUUUUUCAUCCAUUGAUUUCUCUAUCUUUAUUGUAUGGUUCACGUAAGAUUUCUCAUCUACGUCUUGAGAAUAAGUUAUUUUUGGUGAUGUUAUAUUUUUUUUAUGUAUUUGUGUUUUAAGCUUUUGAGUUUUCCUUUACUAGGCUAGAAUGUGAUUGUUGAGUUCACGUCACCAUGUCUUAUCUGUUUGUGUUUUCCUUGUGUUGAAUCUUAAGUCAGGAACUAGAGCUUCGUACAUGUUGACUAUACACUUUCCUUUGCUUGUUCGUUAUUUGAAAUCCUUGAAUUUUUCUUUCCAUUCAAAUCUAAUGCUAAAUUGGCCAUAUAAUCUGCCAAUUUUUUUCCUUCUUUUAUUUGUGAUGUACUUAUGUGUCAUAGUGAUUAAUAAAUUCCUUGAUACCCUCAAUUAUUGUGUUUAUUUACCAAGGUGUCGCCCAUUCAUCCUCUAGGAUAUUCUUGGGUUAUAUAAUAGAGACUGACUCUGUAAUGGAUCUUGUGUAUUCCUCUACGUAAAAUUUACUAUUGCCUCUCUGAUUGCAAUUUUCUCUACCUCUGUAUUGGUAGUGUCAGGCAUUAUGUUUGAUUGUGCAAAAAAAAAAUUCACUUGUACUACUUCUGAUACAACAGCCAUAUGAUCUUCUUCCCAGGUUUCCUCUACUUACACCAUCAAUGUUGAGCUUGAUUCUGCCGAUAGGAGGUGGAUGCAACUGGACAAUCUUGUAGUGCACUAUACUUUUGAAGCUAGCUAAGACUUCCACUAUAUUAGGCCAUUCGAAUGGAACAUUCCUCACCUUUGGGAACUUAAACUUUGUCAAUUGUCAUAUAUUAGUGUUUACCUGAUGCACUAAUAUAUUAUAACUAAUUGUUC
rnacentral:lncRNA from 1 species